CCUGAUAUGGGACGACUGUUUACCUACUUCCACCCCUUUUACUUCCUCUUGUUCAAACCGUGAGUAAUGUGUAUUAAAACACGUUUGCCUCUUGGCUUGAUUGCCUGCCUGGCCUGGCCCGCAAACACGUUGUGUGUGUUUAACACACACACACACACACACACAUGCAAAGGUAUCAACAGGUAAAGCGUGCUUGACCGGACAUCAUUUUAUAUCCAGUGAGGCACAUGAACAAUUCACCACGAAAGUAGAACAAAUCGUUAACGCUCCGCCGUGUGAAUCAUUGAUGCACAUCUUCGUAUUCAUUUUAAAAAGUGAAAGGGGGGAAAAAUGGGAGUGAGGAUUUUUUUUUUUUUAAACAGUCAAAUGGAAGGCGAGCAUGAGUAAUACAUCAAGUUGAUUUAUCCCGUGCGAUUACGGUCCGGUCACCUGGAAGAAACGCAGAGGCUCGUUAAAGCUCGACAAAUCUGCCCCGCUUUAACUCCGCUCUAAUUUACUUUCCACGCAAUCACUUAAAUCCAUACCGAGCAACUCGCGCUGUCAAUGAAAUCAAUGGCCCCGGGGUCCAUUGGAAACGCGGCUACCAGUCGGUGGGGGUUACAGGUAAAUAUUGAACCAGUUUGACGAAUGAGUGUACAGAGCUGGUGCUCUUCACCGAAAGGACUAUCAAUCAGUGGAGACGUUCAAAUAAAGUGUUGUCUAACUGCCCGGCUCCAUGUCAGACUGUUCCCGGCACUGGGUGCAGGUGACUUGAGUCUGGUUUUCAGGAGAAGAGAAAAAGCUUGUUGUUGUUUUUUUGUUUCCCUCCCUGCAUUUAUUUUUCUCUCCCUUCUGUGCCUUGUGUCGUUCUCCUUGGACGGCAUCACCAUCCAGAACCCACACUGUGAGGACCAUCUGUCUGCUUCUCUUUAGUGCUUGUCACAAACCAACACACACACACACACACACACCACUCCUCAUAAGUACAACCUGCCCAGGCAACUCACAGCCGUACAGAAUCUCACUUCACACUUCGUUCACGUGCGCCCGAGUUACAUUCACUUCGAGGAAAGGAAAGGAAAGGAAAGUGAACUACUUACCCUAUGGGGUUCUACCGUUCUUUUUGUCGUCAUCGCUGAAAUGUUCUUCUGCGUCCACUCAAAAAUAAGUCGCAGCUCGAAUGUCUGUGCUGAAUAGAUACUCAAAGGAUGAUUUAAAAAAAAAAAAAAAAAAAAAAGUAGUAGUAAUAAUAGCUUCUGCCGAUGAUGACACAAUCCUAUAACUUCACAGAAUUGGCAAAUAAUAGUUUUGACGACGACGGUGAGGACGUCGGCAUAAAGAUCAAUUGCCGGUCUGCACUACAGCGAGCGAUGAAAUUAGAUAGCAGAGAAUAUGAUCCGUGCCAUCAGCUUACACGCUCGGUAUCUGGUAGUGGAGAUGGAUCAUAGUCCUGACAAAGAUGAGAGAUAAUAAAUGAAAAAAGCAGGGCUCAUAUUGGGUUUUUUUUUUUUGUUUUUUUUUUAAGUAUUCAUUUUUAACGACUUAAUUCAAUGAAGCAACAUAAUGCACUUUGUUGAAGAAUUAGCAAUAGGAUUGUGGUGAAUGGUUAACAGUGAGUUAGAGAAACUUAGAAAAAUGCAGACAUUUCGGGGAAAACGCCAGGGUUGUUUCCAUCUUUUGACGAUCAAUUAACCGGUGUUAUGUUCCU